AACCUAGCACACCUGCGGUGUGUACCUGCGGAGGGAUCAUUACAGAGUUGCAAAACUCCCCAAACCAUUGUGAACCUUACCUUCAACCGUUGCUUCGGCGGGCGGGCCACAGCGCCCCCCGGGCCCCCCCAGCGGGGCGCCCGCCGGAGGAUACCCAAACUCUUGAUACUUUAUGGCCUCUCUGAGUCUUCUGUACUGAAUAAGUCAAAACUUUCAACAACGGAUCUCAGAUCGGAAGAG
rnacentral:misc_RNA from 1 species